rnacentral:rRNA from 1 species
GACGAACGCUGGCGGCGUGCCUAAUACAUGCAAGUCGAACGAACCGCGACUAGGUGCUUGCACUUGGUCAAGGUGAGUGGCGAACGGGUGAGUAACACGUGGGUAACCUACCUCAUAGUGGGGGAUAACAGUCGGAAACGACUGCUAAUACCGCAUAGGACAUAGGAUCACAUGAUUCUGUGAGGAAAGGUGGCGCAAGCUAUCGCUAAGAGAUGGACCCGCGGUGCAUUAGCUAGUUGGUAGGGUAAAGGCCUACCAAGGCGAUGAUGCAUAGCCGACCUGAGAGGGUGAUCGGCCACAUUGGGACUGAGACACGGCCCAAACUCCUACGGGAGGCAGCAGUAGGGAAUCUUCCGCAAUGGACGCAAGUCUGACGGAGCAACGCCGCGUGAGUGAAGAAGGUCUUCGGAUCGUAAAGCUCUGUUGUUAGAGAAGAACAGCGCAUAGAGUAACUGUUAUGCGUGUGACGGUAUCUAAACAGAAAGCCACGGCUAACUACGUG